GAUGAACGCUGGCGGCGUGCCUAAUACAUGCAAGUCGAGCGAACAGACGAGGAGCUUGCUCCUCUGACGUUAGCGGCGGACGGGUGAGUAACACGUGGAUAACCUACCUAUAAGACUGGGAUAACUUCGGGAAACCGGAGCUAAUACCGGAUAAUAUAUUGAACCGCAUGGUUCAAUAGUGAAAGACGGUUUUGCUGUCACUUAUAGAUGGAUCCGCGCCGCAUUGGCUAGUUGGUAAGGUAACGGCUUACCAAGGCAACGAUGCGUAGCCGACCUGAGAGGGUGAUUCGCCACACUGGAACUGAGACAAGGGCCAGACUCCUACGGGAGGCAACAGUAGGGAAUCUUCCGGAAUGGGCGAAAGCCUGACGGAGCAACGCCGCGUGAGUGAUGAAGGUCUUCGGAUCGUAAAACUCUGUUAUUAGGGAAGAACAAAUGUGUAAGUAACUAUGCACGUCUUGACGGUACCUAAUCAGAAAGCCACGGCUAACUACGUG
rnacentral:rRNA from 1 species